UACGGAGGGUGCAAGCGUUAUCCGGAUUCACUGGGUUUAAAGGGUGCGUAGGUGGGUCUGUAAGUCAGUGGUGAAAUCCCCGAGCUUAACUUGGGAACUGCCGUUGAUACUAUAGAUCUUGAAUAUCGUGGAGGUAAGCGGAAUAUGUCAUGUAGCGGUGAAAUGCUUAGAUAUGACAUAGAACACCAAUUGCGAAGGCAGCUUACUACACGAUCAUUGACACUGAGGCACGAAAGCGUGGGGAGCAAACCGG
rnacentral:rRNA from 1 species